rnacentral:rRNA from 1 species
GACGUAGGGGGCGAGCGUUGUCCGGAUUCAUUGGGCGUAAAGGGCGCGUAGGCGGCUUGGCAAGUGGAAGGUGAAAUCCCUCGGCUUAACCGAGGAACUGCCCUCCAAACUGCUUCGCUUGAGACCGGGAGAGGUGAGUGGAAUUCCCAGUGUAGCGGUGAAAUGCGUAGAUAUUGGGAGGAACACCAGUGGCGAAGGCGGCUCACUGGACCGGUACUGACGCUGAUGCGCGAAAGCGUGGGGAGCAAACGGG